GACGAACGCUGGCGGCGUGCUUAACACAUGCAAGUCGAACGGAAAGGCCCUGCUUUUGUGGGGUGCUCGAGUGGCGAACGGGUGAGUAACACGUGAGUAACCUGCCCUUGACUUUGGGAUAACUUCAGGAAACUGGGGCUAAUACCGGAUAGGAGCUCCUGCUGCAUGGUGGGGGUUGGAAAGUUUCGGCGGUUGGGGAUGGACUCGCGGCUUAUCAGCUUGUUGGUGGGGUAGUGGCUUACCAAGGCUUUGACGGGUAGCCGGCCUGAGAGGGUGACCGGCCACAAUGGGACUGAGAUACGGCCCAGACUCCUACGGGAGGCAGCAGUGGGGAAUAUUGCACAAUGGGCGGAAGCCUGAUGCAGCAACGCCGCGUGCGGGAUGACGGCCUUCGGGUUGUAAACCGCUUUCGCCUGUGACGAAGCGUGAGUGACGGUAAUGGGUAAGGAAGCACCGGCUAACUACGUG
rnacentral:rRNA from 1 species